GGGCCCUUAGCUCAGUUGGUCAGAGCAGGAAGCUCAUAAUUUCUUGGUCGUAGGUUCGAAUCCUACAGGGCCCA
rnacentral:tRNA from 1 species